UGAGGAAUAUUGGAAAUGGACGAAAGUCUGAUCUAGCAACACCGCGUGUGCGAAGAAGGCCUUCGGGUUGUAAAACACUUUUUGGAAGGAUUAGGAAGGAAUGUACUUCCAGAAUAAGUCUCGGCUAACUACGUGCCAGCAGCCGCGGUAACACGUAGGAGGCAAACGUUAUCCGGAUUUACUGGGCGUAAAGCGCGUGUAGGUGGUUCUGUAAGUAGGGCGUGAAAGCUCCUGGCUCAACUGGGAGAGGCCGUUCUAAACUGCAGAGCUAGAGGAUGGUAGAGGGAGGUGGAAUUCCGGGUGUAGCGGUGGAAUGCGCAGAUAUCCGGAGGAACACCAGUGGCGAAAGCGGCCUCCUGGACCAAUUCUGACACUCAGAUGCGAAAGCUAAGGUAGCAAACG
rnacentral:rRNA from 1 species